rnacentral:tRNA from 1 species
UCCCUGGUGGUCUACUGGUUAAGAUUCUGCGCUUCCACUGCAGGGGGCACGGGUUUGAUCCCUGGUCAGGGAA